AGGAAGAUUGGGAGAAGACGCGACGACCGACUCCGACCACCAGUUGCUGAGGAGCGAGGAAGAGCGAAGGGUGGUUGCCUACUCCUCUCAGCUCUCCUUGACUGUGACUGGGAAACUAAUAAACUAGAAAAGAAGAAAAUUAAGGAAAAUAAAGAAAACAAGUGAAACAGAUUUGAAAAACAGACAAAAACUAACAAGAAAAAAACAAGUGAAAUCAGAGAAAAAUUAAACAGUAAAAAGACUUAGAAACAAACAAAAAAGAAAGAAAAAAAAACAUUCGUCCCACAUCCUAAAGCAAGAGUUUCAAGAUGUCACCACAAAGACGGUGGUUCAACGUGUCCCCCCUCCCUCUCCUCUCCCUCCUCUGCCUCGCCCUCACGCCAUUGGUCGAGGCGGGCGCUGACGUCACAAUGGGCGUGGCUUACGAGGACGUGACGAGCGUGGGGGGCGGCGUACGGGCGUGCGUGGAGGGGGCAGCGCGGGGGGAGGACGGCGUCAACUACUGCAGGAAACUGACGCCGCAGGAGACGCUGAAGCUGAAGCAGGGCGCGGAAGAUCUGGUUGUGCUGACGAUCCGUAGACCAGGCGAUGACGCGUUCAAGCGCUUUCUGAGGUCAGCACGAGUCUACGGCUACAAGGUCAAGGUGCUGGGAGAGGAGGGGGAGGGGGUUGAGGAAGAGGUGGGAGGAAGGAGGCGCAUCCAACUCCUCCAGGAAGCCCUCGCCCUCCUGAAGGAAGAGAAGGAAGACAGGCUCGUCCUCUACACGGAAAGCGUGGAUGUGGUGCUGAGUGGAGGCCCCGUGCGCGUGGUGGAGGAGAUGGGUGAGGCGGAUGACGUGGACGUGUGGGUGGCGGGUGACACGACUUGCUGGCCUGACAGGAACUUGGAUGAACAGUUCCCGAAGGUGGAGAAGGGCAAAAGGUUCCUUAACUCAGGUGGUUUCGUUGGCAAGGUUAGCGUCCUAAACAAACUCUUUACGGAGGAAGGGAAGGAGGAGAUGAAGAACCUGGAGAAGAAGAAGAAGGAGAAGAAGGAAGAGGAAGAGAAGACUGAAGAAGAGGAAGAGGAUGACAAACACGCCCUCCAGAUUCUCUUCAAUCGAGUCUACUUGAAGGAAUCGUUGAGGAGAAAAUACAAGAUUGAGAUUGACCACGCGGCAAAGGUGUUCCAGAAUUUGAAUGACGCCGUGGACGAGGUUGACCUGCAGUUCUCCGGGCGCGAGGGGUACCUGCUUAACCUGGUCUCCGGGAGCGUGCCCAUUGUGAUCAGGGGGAACGGCCACGCCCACCUGAUACUCAACACCCUGGGGGCAUACCUCGCCAGGGCCUGGAACCCCGAGGACGGCUGCAGGGCCUGCUGGGAAGACAUGAUACAACUUAAGGAUGCCGAGGAGUGGAAGGAGUCGGAGGAGAAGAAGGAGAAGGCCAAGCAGGAGGAGGCCGAGGAGCUGAGCGGGAAGAAGGAGGUGAAGGAGAUCCCCAAGGUCACCGUAGGACUCUUCAUCGAGAAACCCACGCCCUUCCUGCAGGAGUUUCUGGACAGGAUUGAAGAGCUGAAGUAUCCGAAGAAGAUGAUUGAUUUGUACCUCCAUAACGCGAUUGAAGGGCACAAGGAGACAGUGGACGCGUGGGUGGAGUCGAACACGGGUCUCUACGCCUCUCUCAAGUACAUUGCGCCAGAGGAGGACGUGAAGGAGUGGCACGUGAGGAACGGAGUGAUAGAUCACUGCCUGGCCAAGGAGUGUGGUUACCUGUUUGUGGUGGACUCCGAGGCGCAGAUCAUGAACCCAUACACACUGAAGCUGCUUAUUGAACAGAACAGGCCGGUGGUAGCGCCCCUGCUGAUUCGUCCGUACAAGGCGUGGAGCAACUUCUGGGGUGCGGUGACGCUGGAUGGUUUCUAUGCGCGUUCCAUGGACUAUAUGGAGAUCGUGCAGGGACAGAGGAGAGGUCUAUGGAACGUUCCCUACGUCUCCGGGAGCUACUUGGUGCAGGCCGGGGUGCUGGCCAACCCUCGCACGCGGCCUGCCUACAUCAGGAACCUGCUGGACCCAGACAUGGCCUUCUGUGAGAACCUGAGGGAGAAGGGCGUCUUCCUGCACCUGUCCAAUCGUGUUGAGUUCGGCCACCUGGUCAACAACGAAGAGUUUGACCUCAGCCGCCUCAACCCCGAGCUGUGGGAGGUGGAGCGGAACAGGUGGGACUGGGAGAGGCGCUACCUGAACCCAGCCUACCCCGAGAGUGUGGCCGAGAACACCACGGUGGAGAUGCCGUGCCCCGACGUGUACUGGUUCCCGGUGUUCACGGAGCGGUUCGCCGAGGAGAUGAUCGUCACCUUCGAGGACUUCGGGGUGUGGUCUUCCGGCACCAACGAGACAUACAGAACAGCCCCCACCAACACCACCACUACCACCAACACCAGCAGCAGCCCCCAGCAGGCAGCCCUCUCCUCCGUGGGUCUGAAGGCGGUCUGGCAGCACAUCCUCGGGGCCUACAUCAGUCCCCUGGCCCACAAGAAUUUUCGGGGCUAUGAGCGUUUUCCUCCCCGCGCCCUGAUGAACUUCAUGGUGCGCUACAAGCCUGACGAGCAGCCCUUCCUUCGGCCCCACCACGACACCUCCACCUACACCAUCAACGUGGCACUCAACAAACCCGGCAAGGACUACGAGGGCGGUGGCUGCCGGUUCGUGCGCUACAACUGCAAUGUGACGGACUCUCGCGUGGGCUGGGUCCUGAUGCACCCCGGCAGACUCACCCACCUGCACGAGGGCCUCCGCACCACCAAGGGCACCAGGUACAUCAUCGUCUCCUUCGUCGACCCGUAGGCGGAGACGCUGCAGAAGGGAGGAGCGACGGGGCGUGAGGGAGGGAGUGAAGAGUGAAGAUGAGCGUGGAAGGGAGAAGAGGAGGAGUGUAGGGUGUGGGUGAAUGUGUGAUAGCAAUGUGUAGAAGUGAAUGGAGGAGAGUAGAGAGGAGUAUAGAAAAGGGUGUAGGAAAGACAGGAAGGAAAAAGUGAAGAAAGAAAUUAAGAUGAAGGUAGAAAGGAGAAUAGAAGGAGACUUUAGUAUUGUGAAAGAAUGGAUGAAGGAAAGGCAUAAAGAAGUAUAGGAGAAAUGAAGUGUAGAAAAGAAAGAAGAAAGAAAGAAAGAAUAGAAAGUGUAGGAGUGGAUGAAGGAAAGUGAAGGAGGAAAAGAAAAGAAAGUUGGAGGAAAGAAAGGAAGGUAAGAGGAAAAUAAGAGAUAAGAGAGGAAAGGAGGAGAGAAAGGAAAGGGAAAUAGAAGGAAAAAAAGGAAAAAAAGAGGAGAGAAAGUACAGGAGGUAAGAAAAGGAGAAAAGCAAGGAAAGUAGAAGGGAGAAAUGAAAAUUGGAGGGGAGAAGGGAAAAGGAGGAGAAAAGAAGGAAAAUAAGAGGAAAGAAAAAAAACAAGAAGAUGACUGGCUGUCUUUGUGCCCGUCUGUUCGUGUCUGUUCGUGUCUGUUUGUGUCUGUUUUUUUUUUAAUGAAGGAAAUUGUGUUUGUGAGUUUGUGUGUUCCAUGAUCGUGUUUGUUUACCGAAAAUGUUUGUGAGUUCGUUUGUUUGUUUCACUGAUCUGUUUGUGAGUUUGUUGGUUAAAUGGAUCUGUUUGUUAAUCCUUUCUUUGCUGAUUGAUCUGUUAGUGUUUGUUGUUUGAAGUGUUUGUUUAUCGAAAUUGUUUGUGUGGCUCGACCUUGAUUAUAAGAUUGUCUAUUUGUUUGUUUGUUUGUUUGUGUGUUAUUAGAUAGUAAAUUAUGGUGAUUACUGAUGGUUGUGAUGAUAGUUGAUGAUUAUGAUUGAUAUUAUUAUUAUUAUUAUUAUUAUUCCUAUUAUUAUUACGUUUGCAAAGACUACUACUACUACUACUACUACUACUACUACUACUACCACCUCAUUCCACUAUUUAAAGACAAGUAGUAGUAGUAGUAGAAAUAAUAAUAAUAAUAAUAAUAAUAAUAAUAAUGAUAAUAAUGAUAAUAAUAAUAAUAAACCCAAUCACCUUAAUCUUACGUUGGACAAAUUUUAAGCAGAAGAAAUAAUAAAAAUGAAGAUAAAAAAAUAAAAUGAAAAUAUGGAAGGUCUACCACGCUUUAUAUAGGUGGCGAGCGGGCUUAGGCGAGGCAAAUCCACUUACCCGUUCCUUAAAGCAUUUUGUCAACAUUAAAAAAUAGUUAUACCUUUUAAUUUAUUGCUUUUGGGUCAUAUGUUUUACUUUGAUAGCAUUUUCUUGACUUAAAACACGAUGAUUUUAUGUGAAUGCAAAUCAGUUUAGUAGCCCCUUAAAAUAUUGGUUUUGUCACGUAUCUCGUUUUCUUUAUAGCUUUUUCAAGACAGCGUUCAGACGUUUUUAUAUACAGAACACAAGACAGUUUAGUUACCCUUGAAAAUACUGGUUCCUCUCAGCUGAGUUUGUUUGUUUGUUUUUUAUAUGAUUUUCUGGACAGUUAUAAAAAUACAUAAUUUUCAGUUUGGUUAUACCUAAAUAAUAUUGAUUCUUUGUUAUAUUCUUUUUCUGUUGUUUUCUUGGUAAUUUUAAAACAUGAUGAUUUUAAAUGAAUGUAAAUCAGUUUAGUGGCCCCUUGAAAUAUUGGUUUUGUCACGUAUCUCGUUUUCUUUAUGGCUUUUUCAUUACAAUUUUCAGUUGUUUUUAUUUUUUUAUUUACAGAACACAAGUUAGUUAUCCUUGAAAAUAUUGCUUCUACCCCGUUUAAUUUCUCGUUUUUUUAUAUGAUCUAGACAAUUAUAGGAAAAGAGCAUCAAUUUCGUUAUAUAAGAACAUAAGAACGUAAGCAUUGUUAUUCGAUAUUCAGUUUAUCUUUUACAAGUGAUGUCUAGGGUUGCUCUUGUUGAUCUUUACAUUCCACAAACAGUAUUCAGAAUAAAGAUUAUGUUGUG